CAUCAAAUUAAAAAAAUGGAACACAGUGAGACAUAAACAGCCUGAUAAGCUAAACCUCCUCAUCACAACCUUUUCCCCUGACCAAAAACAAACAUGGAUUCCCUGACUGGAACUCCUGAGACAGAGUGAUGUUUUGAAGUGGUAAAUCAAUUGGUGACAUGACUUUCUCCAAAGAAACCUUCUUUUAAUCAGCCACAGCGGAAUUGGCGGGGGGGUCACCAACGUGCUCCCCCAAUACCCUGGACUUCCUUCACCACGCUGCAAUUGCCACACAGUGGCUGUGAGCUUCCUGAGGGCAAAGACCAGGCCAUGUUUUCCAUCAAUCUCUUCUCAUAGCCAGGUCCUGGGGAAUAGCCAUAGAAGAAUACGAGCUUGCAUGACUUAUGAUCUGCCCACCAGUACCGCACACAGGUUCGAUUUCACUUCGGCUAAGCUGUAAACACUUGGGGGCACGUCCACUUUCUUACUUCCAGC